rnacentral:rRNA from 1 species
AACGAACGCUGGCGGCAGGCUUAACACAUGCAAGUCGAACGCCCCGCAAGGGGAGUGGCGGACGGGUGAGUAACGCGUGGGAACAUACCCUUUUCUACGGAAUAGCUCUGGGAAACUGGAAUUAAUACCGUAUACGCCCUACGGGGGAAAGAUUUAUCGGGGAAGGAUUGGCCCGCGUUGGAUUAGCUAGUUGGUGGGGUAAAGGCCUACCAAGGCGACGAUCCAUAGCUGGUCUGAGAGGAUGAUCAGCCACAUUGGGACUGAGACACGGCCCAAACUCCUACGGGAGGCAGCAGUGGGGAAUAUUGGACAAUGGGCGCAAGCCUGAUCCAGCCAUGCCGCGUGAGUGAUGAAGGCCUUAGGGUUGUAAAGCUCUUUCACCGAUGAAGAUAAUGACGGUAGUCGGAGAAGAAGCCCCGGCUAACUUCGUG